GACGAACGCUGGCGGCGUGCUUAACACAUGCAAGUCGAACGAAGAGCGAUGGAAGCUUGCUUCUAUCAAUCUUAGUGGCGAACGGGUGAGUAACGCGUAAUCAACCUGCCCUUCAGAGGGGGACAACAGUUGGAAACGACUGCUAAUACCGCAUACGAUCUAAUCUCGGCGUCGAGGAUAGAUGAAAGGUGGCCUCUACAUGUAAGCUAUCACUGAAGGAGGGGAUUGCGUCUGAUUAGCUAGUUGGAGGGGUAACGGCCCACCAAGGCGAUGAUCAGUAGCCGGUCGGAGAGGAUGGACGGCCACAUUGGGACUGGGACACGGCCCAGACUCCUACGGGAGGCAGCAGUGGGGAAACUUCCGAAAUGGGCGAAAGUCUGACGGAGCAACGCCGCGUGAGUGAUGACGGCCUUCGGGUUGUAAAGCUCUGUUAAUCGGGACGAAAGGCCUUCUUGCGAAUAGGGAGAAGGAUUGACGGUACCGGAAUAGAAAGCCACGGCUAACUACGUG
rnacentral:rRNA from 1 species